ensembl:snRNA U6 U6 spliceosomal RNA
GUUCUCACUUCGGCAGCACAUAUACUAAAAUUGGAACGAUACAGAGCAGAUUAGCAUGGCCCUUGUACAAGGAUGACACGCAAAUUCAUGAAGUAUUAUAUAUUUUU